GUAGGGCGCGAGCGUUGUCCGGAAUUAUUGGGCGUAAAGAGCUCGUAGGCGGUCUGUCGCGUCGGAUGUGAAAGCCCGGGGCUUAACCCCGGGUCUGCAUUCGAUACGGGCAGACUAGAGUGUGGUAGGGGAGAUCGGAAUUCCUGGUGUAGCGGUGAAAUGCGCAGAUAUCAGGAGGAACACCGGUGGCGAAGGCGGAUCUCUGGGCCAUUACUGACGCUGAGGAGCGAAAGCGUGGGGAGCGAACAGGAUUAGAUACCCUGGUAGUCCACGCCGUAAACGGUGGGAACUAGGUGUUGGCGACAUUCCACGUCGUCGGUGCCGCAGCUAACGCAUUAAGUUCCCCGCCUGGGGAGUACGGCCGCAAGGCUAAA
rnacentral:rRNA from 1 species